UAGGGAAUAUUGCACAAUGGGCGAAAGCCUGAUGCAGCAACGCUGCGUGCGCGAAGAAGGCCUUCGGGUCGUAAAGCGCUUUUCGGGGAGAUGAGGAAGGACAGUAUCCCCGGAAUAAGGCUCGGCUAACUACGUGCCAGCAGCCGCGGUAACACGUAGGAGCCAAGCGUUAUCCGAAUUCACUGGGCGUAAAGCGCGUGUAGGCGGCUUGAUAAGUUGGAUGUAAAAGCUCCUGGCUCAACUGGGAGAGGACGUUCAAUACUGUCAGGCUAGAGGACGGCAGAGGGAGGUGGAAUUCCCGGUGUAGUGGUGAAAUGCGUAGAUAUCGGGAGGAACACCAGUGGCGAAGGCGGCCUUCUGGGCCGUUACUGACGCUCAGACGCGAAAGCUAGGGGAGCGAACGGGAUUAGAAACCCCGGUAGUCCUAGCCGUAAACGAUGUAGACUUGGUGUAGGUGGUGUAAAAGCCAUCGGUGCCGAAGCUAACGCGAUAAGUCUACCGCCUGGGGACUACGGCCGCAAGGUUA
rnacentral:rRNA from 1 species